UGCAACCACUGUUGUAAAUAAGAGGGGGAGAAAUAUGGUCACAAAAUGGGAUUAGGCUGCUUGCAAGCAACUGAAGGAUAGACCUUCUAAGAUAGUAAAUGUAGACCAACAUUUUGUUGGCAACCAACCUACUAUUGGUAGACACCUAAAGGAUUAUGAUUAUCCUAUGAAUGAAAGGCAUUCACAACCUAGCACAGUGGUGCACAAUACUAAGACUGGGUUAUCGGAAGCCCUUGAUUCUCGUUUCAAGAAGUCAUGAUGAAUAAUAAGGGUGCAUAAGAUGUAGACAUCAUGUCAAUUGGAGAAUUAUGCUAUUUAAAGGUUACAUGUGUCGACACUUACUUCUCAGCAUAUAUGCAUUUCAAAUGAUCCAAUAGACCAUGGCCAUGGCAGAGCACCUUUGUGUUCAAACUAGACCUUGUAGAGUGAUGCAAUAAAGCAAAGAUA
rnacentral:lncRNA from 1 species